UUCCAAUCAGCCCCAGAUGAAAACGAAUGAUCCGGUUGGAAUGCUAUUGGAUAUAUGUGAUUAUAACAUCCUGAAGAUUGAUUCUGCACUUAGUUUGACCAGUUUCUUCGACCUGUAAUAUGUAAUUUGGAAGUUUUGAUGCAAAGUUAUCCUGGACCAGAAGUCAUUUUUUGGGAAUUUGAGCUGAAAGUGGUAGCAAAUGCUGCUACUUGGACACUAGAUUUGAACAUUAUGAAACAAAACGAUUUAUUGUUGAACUAGGACUCCUUUCACUACAUUCUGAUGGAAGAUCAUCAAAGAGUAAUCCUGUACUGACCAGAAAUGGAAUACAUUGCCUCAGGAUGAUAUCCUACAUAUUUUGAUACCCUGCAUGAGGAUCUUCUAUCUUUUUGUCAUGAAGACGGGGAAGGGCCUUUCAUUGUGGAUUCUAGGAUAUAAUGAUGACUUUUGAUGUCCAAUGUGGCUGGAGGGGUGGUGUCUCAGCUGUGGAUGAUGGCCAGGUUUUUUCUCUAGGUGAAGUCCUUACAGGAGAAAAUUCCAGAAAAACAAUUCUGCCAUAUUUUCAAUCCAGCGAUAAAUUACUUUGUGGUGGACUUUUGUUUUCCAAGUAAAUACAAAGGAGUGAAAAUGUUAAUGACCCAUAAGAGUGUGUGCUUAUUCGAUAAUUACACUCAAAAAGUGGUGUAAGGUUUAUAUUCCAUACAUUGUGGGAUAUAUUUCUUAUUGGUCCUUUUGCAGAAAACUCAUGGUUUGGAGCUCUCGUGUGAAAUUGGAUGGUAUGAGCAGAAAGUUGGCGCUUGUACAAAUGUCCAGAUCCAUUUUACCAGUAAUAACAGCUUCCUUUUCUUCAGAGACUUUUCACAGCAUUGGAUGUGUAUUACAUUUUAAUGACUGCAAGUGCAUAAUCCUCAACACUGUGGAAAUGGUUUAGAGUCCAGUUUACAUCAUUUAACUCGUCAAAGCUGACAUUAACCAAAUGAAGUUAUGUGACUGCUUCUUUAGCCGCUACACUAAUAUUCAUCCAUUAAUCUGUAUUUACCAGGAGACAAGUCUCACUUCAUCUGAAGAAUUCCCAAAAGAAUAAAUAGAUUCAGAUUAGCAAGACUGAAAUUUCCCAUCAAUUCAGAAUUUCUCUCAAGGCUUUUUUUCCCUUCCUUAGAAGGUUUAUUUCGUAACAUUUGCUGCAACGCUUCAGCAAGUCUGUGAGGUGAUUACUGCAGCACGAUUUAAAAGUAUGCAGCGCUUUCAGAAAGUAUUCACACCCCUUGACUUUUCCCACAUGUUGUUUUGUUACAACCUGAAUUUAAAAUAUAUUUAAAAAACGAUUUUGUGUCACUGAUCUACACACAAUACCCCAUCACAUCCCAGUUGAAUUUUGUCUUUAGAAACGUCUACAAAUUAAUUAAAACCUGAAAUGUUUUGAGUCAAUACAUGUUUCAACCAUUUUGUUAUGGUGAGUAGAAAUGUUGCUUAACAAGUCACAUAAUAAAUUGGAUGGAUUCCAUCUGUG
ensembl:lncRNA